CCCUGGAACUCUUUUUUACCGUGAUUACAAUGACCCAUGGCUUGUAGGUCUGGAGAAAAAUGUGGGAAAAUGGAAGUACGAGAAAUUGAAGAGUGUACGAAAGAAGCAUACGAAAUGCAACUUUUUGGAUAUAGCUCACGGACAGUUAGCGAAUGUGUAUGCAGCAUUGCAUUAGAGAGAAUGCAAGAAGCAACAGAAUUAAUGCAUCAGUGCCUCCUACAAAAGUUACCACAGUCAGAGACAGCUAUUCAGUCAGCAACAGAGCAGUUUUUGAAAGAAAGUACCAAUGCGGCAGUACAGCAGUUGAAGCACGUAUCGUUGGCAGUAGAUGAAUUUCUUUCUAUACCGUCCUAUGUUCUGCUACCAGAAGAUGUGCCACAGUCUACACAGUAUACCAAAGAAGAUGAACAACUGCUUGAUGAAGAAAUGGAACAGCUUAUAGCUAGAGCAAAGAGGUGUUAGGGAAACUCUUCAGUUGGAAAGAUUACUUGAGGCCAGCAUCAGAAAAUUGCAUUUUAGGCAUGUUUCAUGGAAGCAUGUUUAAGGAAGGAGAUUGAAGUUCAGCAGAAGGUGAAGACAGUGGAAUCAGAGUUCAAGGAGCUGGAACAACUUUAUCUUGAAGAUGAAAUAAGGAAAUUGUCUGCACAUAGUUUACAUUCCAAAAUUAGUAAAACUGUAGAAGUCACAAAAACCAUGAAGAGUUAUGAGAAAACAUGCUUUGAAUUUCCACAACAAAUAUCUGAUGAAGAUAAUGAUAUUGCAGAUAUAUUUAAAAAGUUGUAGCAUGUAAAAAGUCAAAGAAAUUAAAGAAGUCUUCUUCCUCUCCCAAUUUUAUUUCCAUUUUAUACCACUUGAUGGAGAGAAGGUCUCCAGUCUCAUAUUUUUUCCUAUAAUCCUUCACUUUUUAUAUCUUUCCAGCUCUUUUCUCUUCCAGAUAUCCUCCAGUGCAUGAUUGAACCAUCUUGUUUAUGGUCAUCCCAUUCAAUUUUAGUUAUAAGGGUCUUAUUACACUUGUUCUGUUAAUUAUUUUUAUUGGCCAGAUUACUGUAAUCGUUUCCCUUCUAACCCUGUUAACAAGUUUUGAAUCUCAGCUUCUGUGAAACUUUCAUUUCCAGUUCCAUCUAUUCUUUUUUCCCUUAAUACUUCUCAGAGAUUUCAUAUCCAGUGGUUAGAUUUUGCUUCUGUUUCUCUUUGUAAGGGUCCAUGUUUCAGCAUUAUUUGAUAGUGUAGGUUUAAAAUAUACUUUAUAGACUGCUGUUAUGAAUUGUUUUAGGAUGUCUCUGGUCCACAAUACCACAUUUCUUUUAUAAUAUUCUUUUGAACUCUGUCCUCUUCUGAUUCUUUUCCCUUCCCAAAUAAAUACAGUAGAAUUUCAAUUUAAGGUUUCUCAGUUUAAGAGAUUUUUCUAUUCUGUGUUAAUUUUUGUGAUCCAGCCAUAGACAUAUACGAAUAUUACACAAUUUUAUCCACUUUAAUGUUUCUUGUUUUAAUGUUUUUGACACAUGUUUAUUGAAUAAAAAUCCAGCUGGCCUUAAA